rnacentral:rRNA from 1 species
GAUGAACGCUGGCGGCGUGCUUAACACAUGCAAGUCGAACGAGAAAUGUAGACGGAAACCUUCGGGCGGAAGCCUUCAUUUCGAGUGGCGGACGGGUGAGUAACGCGUGGGUAACCUGCCUCAUACAGGGGGAUAACAGUUGGAAACGACUGUUAAUACCGCAUAAGACCACAGCAUCGCAUGAUGCGGGGGUAAAAACUCCGGUGGUAUGAGAUGGACCCGCGUUCGAUUAGCCAGUUGGCGGGGUAACGGCCCACCAAAGCGACGAUCGAUAGCCGAUCUGAGAGGAUGACCGGCCACAUUUGGACUGAGACACGGCCCCAACUCCUACGGGAGGCAGCAGUGGGGAAUAUUGCACAAUGGGGGAAACCCUGAUGCAGCGACGCCGCGUGAGUGAAGAAGUACUUCGGUAUGUAAAGCUCUAUCAGCAGGGAAGAAAAUGACGGUACCUGAGUAAGAAGCCCCGGCUAACUACGUG